UGUGGAGCUUUGGACUUGCAUGUCUUGACGUUUAUGCUUUGGGGAGAAAGAGAGACCUUCUAAACCCUGUACUAGUGAGCCUCUUUGUUGUGGGCGAUUGGGUGACAUCUAUGUUAUCACUUGCAGCUGCAUGCUCAUCAGCAGGCGUUAUCGUUCUAUAUGCGAGAGACUUGAAUGUGUGUAAGUCUCAAACAAAUCUCCCAUGUAACAGGUUCGAGAUUUCCAUACUUUUUGGUUUCCUCUCAUGGCUUCUUAUUAGCAUAUCCUCUCAUGUGAUGUUCUGGAUCCUAGCCUCUUUCUAGAUAACUCAUGUGUCCUUGCUCUAGAUUUAGUGAAUACACAAAUGAUAUUAUUAUCUUUUUUUUUCACUAAAUCUAGAGCAAGGACACAUGA
rnacentral:misc_RNA from 1 species